AUCCCGAUGGCGAGUCCCAAAUAGGACGAAACCUGUGUCCUGGAU
rnacentral:hammerhead_ribozyme from 1 species